GACUAGACACUGUGGUCUGCCUUUUGGGCUAGUCCAGUGUGUCGCGUCUUUUUUUCUAGGCUCUCUACUAGCCUUCUGGGUGUGUAGAGGCGGUCUAGGACUUUUACUUUGAAGAAAUUAGAGUGUUUAAGGCAGGCUUGUGCUUGAAUACAUUAGCAUGGAAUAAUAAAAUAGGACUUUGGUUUUAUUUUGUUGGUUAUAAAGCCGAGGUA
rnacentral:rRNA from 1 species